GCCGAAAUAGCUCAGUUCGGAGAGCGUUAGACUGAAGAUCUAAAGGUCCCUGGUUUGAUCCCGGGUUUCCUCA
rnacentral:tRNA from 1 species